rnacentral:rRNA from 1 species
UACGGAGGGUGCAAGCGUUACCCGGAAUCACUGGGCGUAAAGGGCGCGUAGGCGGUCCUUCAAGUCAGGCGUGAAAGCCCCGGGCUCAACCUGGGAACCGCGCUUGAGACUGGCGGGCUAGAGUUCGGGAGAGGAUGGUGGAAUUCCCAGUGUAGAGGUGAAAUUCGUAGAUAUUGGGAAGAACACCGAUGGCGAAGGCAGCCAUCUGGACCGACACUGACGCUGAGGCGCGAAAGCGUGGGGAGCAAACAGG